GCUGGGCGCUAGGGCACACACCUGUAAUCCCAGGUACUCGGGAGGCUGAGGCAGGAGGAUCGCAAGUUCGAGGCCAGCCUGGGCAAUUUAGAGAGACCCUGUCUCAA
rnacentral:sRNA from 1 species